rnacentral:rRNA from 1 species
UAUAAUUGUAAUUUAUUAAACUAGAUUAUUAAUAGUUAUUUUCUUUAAAAUUAAAGAUUUUGGCGGUAUUUUAGUCUUUUCAGAGGAACCUGUUCUUUAAUCGAUAAUCCACGAUUUAUUAGACUUAAUUUAAAUAAUUUGUAUAUCGUCGUAGUUUAAAUAUUUUAAAAGAGUAAAUAUUUAAGGUGUUUUAUUAAAAUGUAAAUCAGAUCAAGGUGCAGUUUAUAAUUAAGUAGAAAUGGGUUACAAUAAAUUUAUUUUAAUAGUUUUAUUAAUUAAAAUUAGUAAUUAAAUUGGAUUUGAAAGUAAUUUAAAUUAAUUUAUUUAAAUGAUUUAGCUCUAAAAUAUGU